rfam:Equus caballus chromosome 20, whole genome shotgun sequence.
UCAAAGGCCCUUCUUAGGGCCACCCACAAGAUCUGUUAAAGAGCUGU